rnacentral:rRNA from 1 species
ACAGGGAUUGCCCUAGUAACGGCGAGUGAAGCGGCAACAGCUCAAAUUUGAAAUCUGGCCCUCGUGGUCCGAGUUGUAAUUUGUAGAGGAUGCUUUGGGUGCGGCGCCUUCCAAGUUCCCUAGAACGGGACGCCUUAGAGGGUGAGAGCCCCGUACGGUUGGACGCCUAGCCUAUGUAUAGCUCCUUCGACGAGUCGAGUAGUUUGGGAAUGCUGCUCUAAAUGGGAGGUAAAUUUCUUCUAAAGCUAAAUACCGGCCAGAGACCGAUAGCGCACAAGUAGAGUGAUCGAAAGAUGAAAAGUACUUUGAAAAGAGGGUUAAAUAGCACGUGAAAUUGUUGAAAGGGAAGCGUUUGCGACCAGACCUUUUCCAGGCGGAUCAUCCGGCGUUCUCGCCGGUGCACUUCGCCUGGUUUAGGCCAGCAUCGGUUUUCCCAGGGGGAUAAAGGCGGCGGGAACGUGGCUCCUUCGGGAGUGUUAUAGCCCGCCGCGUAAUACCCUUGGGGGGACCGAGGACCGCGCUUCGGCAAGGAUGCUGGCGUAAUGGUCGUCAACGACCCGUCUUGAAACACGGACCAAGGAGUCGAACAUUUGUGCGAGUGUUUGGGUGUCAAACCCUCACGCGUAAUGAAAGUGAACGGAGGUGAGAGCCCCUCGCGGGUGCAUCAUCGACCGAUCCUGAUGUCUUCGGAUGGAUUUGAGUAAGAGCAUAACUGUUCGGACCCGAAAGAUGGUGAACUAUGCGUGGAUAGGGUGAAGCCAGAGGAAACUCUGGUGGAGGCUCGCAGCGGUUCUGACGUGCAAAUCGAUCGUCAAAUCUGCGC